UAUUUAUUAGAUAAAAAACCAAUGGACUUUGGCCCGCUCUGGUGAUACUCUAAAACUUCUCGAAUAUUGUGGGGUUGCCCCGGCGAUGCUUCAUCUUUAUAGUGGCCGCCCCAUCUUUCGAUGGUGGGAUACAGGCCUACCACGGUGUCUGCGGGUAACGGGGAAUUAGGGUGCGAUUCCUCCGAGGGAGGCUGCUGAAAAGCUACUACCUCCUCCGAAGGAAGCAGGCGGGCCAAUUAUUCCCUCCUCACACAACGAGGAAGUGACGACAAAUAACAAUAUGGGGCUCUUUUGUGACGUCUGCCUGCAAAGAGGACACUUUUAAUCCCUUUACAAGGAACAACUGUGGGGGGAGUCUGGUGCCACCACCCCCGCUAAUUCCACCUCCACUAUCGUAUAUAAAAAUUGUUGCGCUUAAAAAAAUCUCAUUCUAACUUCUGGCCUGGCGGGACGGUCUGCCUCUCCGUAUGUACUGUCUGGCACUCCCCUUACCUCUUGGUGAGGCUGUAUGCCCUGUUAUUUAACUGUGGUGUGUUCAGCGGCAUUUUACUUUACUUAAAAAAUAAAUUGUUCUGA
rnacentral:rRNA from 1 species